rnacentral:rRNA from 1 species
UCAUUUGUCUUUUAAAUGGAGACUUGUAUGAACGGCGAAACCUUUUUCAACUGUCUCCCCCCCUACCCUUCGAAACUUCUAUUUGCGCGAAGAAGCGCAAAUACCCCAGAAAGACGAGAAGACCCUGUCGAGCUUCAGCCAAUAGGUGAGCAAACACAAACAGUACCCGACAUCACCAAAAGGCUUUGGUUGGGGCAACCAUGGAGAAAACUAACCCUCCAGAUAAAGUAGAAGAAAUCCCCUCUCUACUUAACCAAACUAGAGAACCAGGAACUGGUAGUCGGAAAAAGUUACCGCAGGGAUAACAGCGUCAUCCCCUUUAAGAGUCCUUAUUGACGAGGGGGUUUGCGACCUCGAUGUUGGAUUGGGGCCCCCUUAGGGUGCAGAAGCUCUAAAUGGUUAGACUGUUCGUCUAUUAAAGCCCU